rnacentral:lncRNA from 10 species
UCAAUUGUUAUGUUCUCAAUGUCUCUCACUACUUCCUAAGGUCUAACCUCUGAAAAAGGUUGGACCUUUCUCUUGAAAUUCUCAUAGGUUCUUUUCUUCUCUCAGAAAUAAAUCUCUACUCUUUCUUAUAUAAGUCCCCUCUCCUGGGUUCCCAAAUUUUGUUUAUUUCUUUCUGGUUGUCUUGAUUCUGCAUCACAAAAGCCCAGGAAUAAAGCUAGUGAAGGUACAUUUUUUAAUAUAGGUGUAUGGAAGAUGAGCAAUCAGAGCCAAAGGUACACCAGUGGGCAAGGAAGGGGGAAAGAAUCUCAACACUUAGUCAAAAGGUCAUUUUUGUGGAAAUAGAAAAUAAAAUACUGUAUUUUCUCACUUAUAAGUAGGAGCUAAACGUUAAGCACACAUGGACAUAAAUAUGGGAAUAAUAGACACUGUGGACUACUUGGAGGGGGGCAUGUUAGAAUAUCCUGCUGCAUUUUCUGUAGAGAAAAAUGGGCACAAAUCAAUUGAACUACUACUGACUUCUGAGUUUUUUGAAAGUCUUUUAAUACCAUUUUAAUAUAUAAUUUAUUAUUUGGGGUUAGAAACAAAGAAAUAAAGAUGGAUAAGUAUAGAUAUUCUUCCUUUUGUGUCUUUUAAAACCUGUAUGCAAAUGCAAUUAUUGCAUA